rnacentral:rRNA from 2 species
AGACCCGAAACCCGGUGAUCUAGCCAUGGGCAGGUUGAAGGUUGGGUAACACUAACUGGAGGACCGAACCGACUAAUGUUGAAAAAUUAGCGGAUGACCUGUGGCUGGGGGUGAAAGGCCAAUCAAACCGGGAGAUAGCUGGUUCUCCCCGAAAGCUAUUUAGGUAGCGCCUCGUGAAUUCAUCUCCGGGGGUAGAGCACUGUUUCGGCUAGGGGGCCAUCCCGGCUUACCAACCCGAUGCAAACUGCGAAUACCGGAGAAUGUUAUCACGGGAGACACACGGCGGGUGCUAACGUCCGUCGUGAAGAGGGAAACAACCCAGACCGCCAGCUAAGGUCCCAAAGUCAUGGUUAAGUGGGAAACGAUGUGGGAAGGCCCAGACAGCCAGGAUGUUGGCUUAGAAGCAGCCAUCAUUUAAAGAAAGCGUAAUAGCUCACUGGUCGAGUCGGCCUGCGCGGAAGAUGUAACGGGGCUAAACCAUGCACCGAAGCUGCGGCAGCGAACGUAUCACCCAAGACAACUUUACGGAGUUGACGAUUGACGGAGCGAAGCGACGUCAAAGCGUUCAUUAAAGUCGAGUUGGCUUAGGGAUACGUUCGUUGGGUAGGGGAGCGUUCUGUAAGCCUGUGAAGGUGUGUCGUGAGGCAUGCUGGAGGUAUCAGAAGUGCGAAUGCUGACAUAAGUAACGAUAAAGCGGGUGAAAAGCCCGCUCGCCGGAAGACCAAGGGUUCCUGUCCAACGUUAAUCGGGGCAGGGUGAGUCGACCCCUAAGGCGAGGCCGAAAGGCGUAGUCGAUGGGAAACGGGUUAAUAUUCCCGUACUUGGUGUUACUGCGAAGGGGGGACGGAGAAGGCUAUGUUGGCCGGGCGACGGUUGUCCCGGUUUAAGCGUGUAGGUGUGUGUUCCAGGUAAAUCCGGUUCACUUUAACACUGAGGCGUGACGACGAGGCACUACGGUGCUGAAGCAACAAAUGCCCUGCUUCCAGGAAAAGCCUCUAAGCAUCAGGUAACACGAAAUCGUACCCCAAACCGACACAGGUGGUCAGGUAGAGAAUACCAAGGCGCUUGAGAGAACUCGGGUGAAGGAACUAGGCAAAAUGGUGCCGUAACUUCGGGAGAAGGCACGCUGACACGUA